rnacentral:rRNA from 1 species
AAAUUGAAGAGUUUGAUCAUGGCUCAGAUUGAACGCUGGCGGCAGGCCUAACACAUGCAAGUCGAACGGUAACAGGAAGCAGCUUGCUGCUUUGCUGACGAGUGGCGGACGGGUGAGUAAUGUCUGGGAAACUGCCUGAUGGAGGGGGAUAACUACUGGAAACGGUGGCUAAUACCGCAUAACGUCGCAAGACCAAAGAGGGGGACCUUCGGGCCUCUUGCCAUCAGAUGUGCCCAGAUGGGAUUAGCUUGUUGGUGAGGUAACGGCUCACCAAGGCGACGAUCCCUAGCUGGUCUGAGAGGAUGACCAGCCACACUGGAACUGAGACACGGCUCAGACUCCUACGGGAGGCAGCAGUGGGGAAUAUUGCACAAUGGGCGCAAGCCUGAUGCAGCCAUGCCGCGUGUAUGAAGAAGGCCUUCGGGUUGUAAAGUACUUUCAGCGGGGAGGAAGGUGUUGUGGUUAAUAACCGCAGCAAUUGACGUUACCCGCAGAAGAAGCACCGGCUAACUCCGUGCCAGCAGCCGCGGUAAUACGGAGGGUGCAAGCGUUAAUCGGAAUUACUGGGCGUAAAGCGCACGCAGGCGGUCUGUCAAGUCGGAUGUGAAAUCCCCGGGCUCAACCUGGGAACUGCAUUCGAAACUGGCAGGCUUGAGUCUUGUAGAGGGGGGUAGAAUUCCAGGUGUAGCGGUGAAAUGCGUAGAGAUCUGGAGGAAUACCGGUGGCGAAGGCGGCCCCCUGGACAAAGACUGACGCUCAGGUGCGAAAGCGUGGGGAGCAAACAGGAUUAGAUACCCUGGUAGUCCACGCCGUAAACGAUGUCUACUUGGAGGUUGUGCCCUUGAGGCGUGGCUUCCGGAGCUAACGCGUUAAGUAGACCGCCUGGGGAGUACGGCCGCAAGGUUAAAACUCAAAUGAAUUGACGGGGGCCCGCACAAGCGGUGGAGCAUGUGGUUUAAUUCGAUGCAACGCGAAGAACCUUACCUGGUCUUGACAUCCACAGAAGAAUCCAGAGAUGGAUUUGUGCCUUCGGGAACUGUGAGACAGGUGCUGCAUGGCUGUCGUCAGCUCGUGUUGUGAAAUGUUGGGUUAAGUCCCGCAACGAGCGCAACCCUUAUCCUUUGUUGCCAGCGGUUAGGCCGGGAACUCAAAGGAGACUGCCAGUGAUAAACUGGAGGAAGGUGGGGAUGACGUCAAGUCAUCAUGGCCCUUACGACCAGGGCUACACACGUGCUACAAUGGCGCAUACAAAGAGAAGCGACCUCGCGAGAGCAAGCGGACCUCAUAAAGUGCGUCGUAGUCCGGAUUGGAGUCUGCAACUCGACUCCAUGAAGUCGGAAUCGCUAGUAAUCGUGGAUCAGAAUGCCACGGUGAAUACGUUCCCGGGCCUUGUACACACCGCCCGUCACACCAUGGGAGUGGGUUGCAAAAGAAGUAGGUAGCUUAACCUUCGGGAGGGCGCUUACCACUUUGUGAUUCAUGACUGGGGUGAAGUCGUAACAAGGUAACCGUAGGGGAACCUGCGGUUGGAUCACCUCCUUA